UAAUGGAAGAAAUUAAAUUAGAGAGUAGGUUUUCCUGAAAACUAUUCAGAAUGGCGGUUUUUUUUAUCGUCAGAUAGAUGUGUUUUGAAAACGAAAAUACACGAAUAUCUUUCUUGUUCUAGAAAAUUCAUCCUGUACACCGCCGUCUGAAGAAUCAGUUUAAUAAAUUAAUUCUUAUUUCUGCUUUUUUUUAGAAAAUAAGUCAGGUUAGGUGCAGACAAUGGGCAAGAAAAAAUGCAUUUCACUGAAAUGGCCAAGGGACAGUUUGAAAUAAUCUUCCCAAGAAGAAUUUGAAAGUAGGUUUUUUUAAUCAUAAAAAAACGAAUCGAUACUAAAAAAAUGU
rnacentral:rRNA from 1 species